CCUACGGGAGGCAGCAGUGGGGAAUAUUGCACAAUGGGGGCAAGCCUGAUGCAGCCACGCCGCGUGAGUGAUGAAGUCCUUCGGUAUGUAAAGCUCUAUCAGUAGGGAAGAAAAUGACGGGACCUGUUUCUGUAGCUCUGUCUAUUACCGAGCCAGCAGCCCCGGUAAAACGGAGGGUGCAAGCGUUAUACGGAUUUACUGGGUGUAAAGGGAGCGUAGAUGGGUGAACAAGUCAGGUGUGAAAUGGCGGGGCUUAACCCGGGAAUUGCAUUGGAAACUGGGCAGCUAGAGUGCAGGAGAGGGAAGUAGAAUUCCUAGUGUAGCGGUGAAAUGCGUAGAUAUGAGGAGGAACACCGGUGGCGAAGGCGGCCUACUGGACUGUAACUGACGUUGAGGCUCGAAAGCGUGGGGAGCAAACAGGAUUAGAUACCCUUGUAGUC
rnacentral:rRNA from 1 species